rnacentral:rRNA from 1 species
AUUGAACGCUGGCGGCAUGCCUUACACAUGCAAGUCGAACGCGAAAGCGGAGCAAUCCGCAAGUAGAGUGGCGAACGGGUGAGUAAUACAUCGGAACAUUUCCAGUAGCGGGGGAUAACCUGUCGAAAGAUAGGCUAAUACCGCAUACGCCCUACGGGGGAAAGCGGAGGACCGCAAGGCUUCGCACUAUUGGAGUGGCCGAUGUCGGAUUAGCUAGUUGGCGGGGUAAAAGCCCACCAAGGCUACGAUCCGUAGCUGGUCUGAGAGGACGAUCAGCCACAUUGGAACUGAGACACAGUCCAGCCUCCUACGGGAGGUAGCAGUGGGGAAUUUUGGACAAUGGGCGCAAGCCUGAUCCAGCCAUGCCGCGUGAGUGAAGAAGGCCUUCGGGUUGUAAAUCUCUUUCGGUGGGGACGAAACGGUUCGUGCUAAUACCAUGACCUAAUGGCGGUACCCGAAGAAGAAGCACCGGAUAACUACGUGCCUGCAGCCGCGGUAA